rnacentral:rRNA from 1 species
CGGAAAUACGGGCCACGAGGUGUGGUAGGAGGUGGGAGGCAAGGGUUAAGCGGAAUAACGUGGGGGUAAGCGUGCGCAGGAGGUGAGGAAAGGAAGAUGUGAAAUCCCAGGGCUUAACUUUGGGACUGCAUUUGUAACUACCGGGCUAGAGUGUUGCAGAGGGAGGUGGAAUUCCGCGUGUAGCAGUGAAAUGCGUAGAUAUGCGGAGGAACACCUAGGGCGAAGGCAGCCUCCUGGGAUAACACUGACGCUCAUGCACGAAAGCGUGGGGAGCAAACAGGAUUAGAUACCCCUGUAGUC